GCGGGGGUAGCCAAGCUAGGUCCAAGGCGCCAGCCUGAGGCGCUGGUGGGCGUAGGCCCGCGUGGGUUCAAAUCCCACCCCCCGCACCA
rnacentral:tRNA from 1 species